ensembl:snRNA U2 U2 spliceosomal RNA
AUCGCUUCUCGGCCUUUUGGCUAAGAUCAAGUGUAGUAUCUGUUCUUAGGAGGGUUUUGGCUGGCCCUCCACAUAAGACAGUCUACCUUGAUCCUCU